UCAGACCUCUAAUCGGAAAAGACUACCCGCUGAGUUUAAGCAUAUCACUAAGCGGAGGAGAA
rnacentral:rRNA from 1 species